rnacentral:lncRNA from 1 species
AUGUGGACAGUCUGGGACAAACUCCUCCUGUUCCUUGAAGCCUAUUAGAAGCAGCUCUGCCACAACCUUUGGAGAUCAGGUCUCUGGGAGUCCCGUAGAUGACAAAAAGAGUGGACGCUAAUCCUGAGCUACCAAAAAACCCACAGGUACAGGAAAGGCAGAUUAUGUUCUGCAAAUCAUACACUGGGAUCUAGCCAAGUACAAAAGAAACUAAAUAAGAGCUGCAGUCAGGCCUUCGAAGGUAAAACAGUGUGAAACAUUUGCUUCUGUUAAAAGUAUUCCAAGUGCUUUUUUUGUGUGUCAGUCUUCCUGCAAAAUC